GAUGAACGCUGGCGGCGUGCCUAAUACAUGCAAGUCGAGCGAACGGACGAGAAGCUUGCUUCUCUGAUGUUAGUGGCGGACGGGUGAGUAACACGUGGAUAACCUACCUAUAAGACUGGGAUAACUUCGGGAAACCGGAGCUAAUACCGGAUAAUAUUUUGAACCGCAUGGUUCAAAAGUGAAAGACGGUCUUGCUGUCACUUAUAGAUGGAUCCGCGCUGCAUUAGCUAGUUGGUAAGGUAACGGCUUACCAAGGCAACGAUGCAUAGCCGACCUGAGAGGGUGAUCGGCUACACUGGAACUGAGACACGGUCCAGACUCCUACGGGAGGCAGCAGUAGGGAAUCUUCCGCAAUGGGCGAAAGCCUGACGGAGCAACGCCGCGUGAGUGAUGAAGGUCUUCGGAUCGUAAAGCUCUGUUAUUAGGGAAGAACAUAUGUGUAAGUAACUGUGCACAUCUUGACGGUACCUAAUCAGAAAGCCACGGCUAACUACGUG
rnacentral:rRNA from 1 species